CCUACGGGCGGCAGCAGUGAGGAAUAUUGGUCAAUGGACGAGAGUCUGAACCAGCCACGUAGCGUGAAGGAUGACUGCCCUAUGGGUUGUAAACUUCUUUUAUAAAGGAAUAAAACGAGGCACGUGUGCCUUUUUGCCUGUACGUUAUGAAUAAGGAUCGGCUAACUCCGUGCCAGCAGCCGCGGUAAUACGGAGGAUCCGAGCGUUAUCCGGAUUUAUUGGGUUUAAAGGGAGCGUAGAUGGGUUGUUAAGUCAGUUGUGAAAGUUUGCGGCUCAACCGUAAAAUUGCAAUUGAUACUGGCAGUCUUGAGUACAGUUGAGGUAGGCGGAAUUCGUGGUGUAGCGGUGAAAUGCUUAGAUAUCACGAAGAACCCCGAUGGCGAAGGCAGCUUACUAAACUGUGACUGACAUUGAUGCUCGAAAGUGUGGGGAUCAAACAGGAUUAGAUACCCGAGUAGUC
rnacentral:rRNA from 1 species